rnacentral:rRNA from 1 species
AAGGGUGACGAAGCGACGCCGCGUGUGGGAAGAAGGCCUUCGGGUUGUAAACCACUGUCGGGAGUUAGGAAAUGCAGGUGCGUUAAUAGCGCACUUGCUUGACUAAGGCUCCAGAGGAAGCCACGGCUAACUCUGUGCCAGCAGCCGCGGUAAUACAGAGGCGGCAAGCGUUGUUCGGAAUUAUUGGGCGUAAAGAGCACGUAGGCGGCCUUGCAAGUCAGUUGUGAAAGCCUUCCGCUUAACGGAAGAACGGCAUCUGAUACUACAGGGCUUGAGUACGGGAGGGGAGAGUGGAACUUCUGGUGGAGCGGUGAAAUGCGUAGAUAUCAGAAGGAACGCCGGCGGCGAAAGCGACUCUCUGGUCCGAAACUGACGCUGAGUGUGCGAAAGCUAGGGGAGCAAACGGGAUUAGAUACCCCGGUAGUCCUAGCCGUAAACGAUGGGCACUAAGUAGAGGGGUGU